CCUACGGGUGACUGCAGUGAGGAAUAUUGGUCAAUGGACGAGAGUCUGAACCAGCCAAGUAGCGUGAAGGAUGACUGCCCUAUGGGUUGUAAACUUCUUUUAUAUGGGAAUAAAAUGUUCCACGUGUGGGAUUUUGUAUGUACCAUAUGAAUAAGGAUCGGCUAACUCCGUGCCAGCAGCAGCGGUAAUACGGAGGAUCCGAGCGUUAUCCGGAUUUAUUGGGUUUAAAGGGAGCGUAGGUGGAUUGUUAAGUCAGUUGUGAAAGUUUGCGGCUCAACCGUAAAAUUGCAGUUGAAACUGGCAGUCGUGAGUACAGUAGAGGUGGGCGGAAUUCGUGGUGUAGCGGUGAAAUGCUUAGAUAUCACGAAGAACUCCGAUUGCGAAGGCAGCUCACUGGACUGCAACUGACACUGAGGCUCGAAAGUGUGGGUAUCAAACAGGAUUAGAUACCCUAGUAGUC
rnacentral:rRNA from 1 species